AGUGAACACUGGCGGCGUGCCUAAUACAUGCAAGUCGAACGAAGUGGCGCACGGGUGAGUAAUAUAUAUUUCAUCUGCCCUACACCGAGGAACAACAGGUUGAACCGACUGCUAAUACCUCAUAGUGUAGUAUGAGACUAUAUCUUAUCAGCUAGUUGGUAAGGUAAUGGCUUACCAAGGCUAUGACGCGUAACUGAUCUGCGAGGAUGAUCAGUCACAUGGGAACUGAGACACGGUGCAAACUCCUGCGGGAGGCAGCAGUAAGGGAUAUUGCGCAAUGGGGGUAACCCUGACGCAGCAACGCCGCGUGGAGGAUGACACUUUCCGGAGCGUAACCUCCUUUUAUCAGGAAAGCGGUACCUGCUGAAGAAGCACCGGCUAACUUCGUGCCAGCAGCCGCGGUAAUAC
rnacentral:rRNA from 1 species